rnacentral:rRNA from 1 species
UGUCCGGAAUCACUGGGCGUAAAGGGCGCGUAGGCGGCUACUUAAGCGUGUGGUGAAAGUCCGGGGCUCAACCCCGGAUCGGCCGUGCGAACUGAGUGGCUCGAGCACUGUAGAGGCAGGUGGAAUUCCGGGUGUAGCGGUGGAAUGCGUAGAGAUCCGGAAGAACACCGGUGGCGAAGGCGGCCUGCUGGGCAGUGGCUGACGCUGAGGCGCGACAGCGUGGGGAGCAAACAG